UCCGCCGAUAGCUCAAGUGGUAGAGCGCUGGGUGUCUAGCCUAGAGAUGCUGGUUCGAUUCCAGCUCGGAGAA
rnacentral:tRNA from 1 species